GGAUCAAUGUUUAGGAUUCUGAGGCUGAAGUCUCAUUUCAGCAAGUGUCCUGAGAGCUGCAAUCAGUCUAUGUCCAGCUGGGGGCAGUAACUGGCCUGUGUGGAUGUUUUACCGGCUGAAACUGGCUUGAUGCUGGUCUCUAUUCACUGCCAUUAUAUGGUUGAGGACAAACACUGGCACAAACACAGGGCAUUAGAACAACACCAGGUGCUACCAGUAGCCUUUAAUGGAUGGAUGGUUGGAUGGACAGAAUUUUUUAUCAAAUUUCCAACAGACUGCAGAUGGUUUGAUUGAAAACCACAAGAAAAUGAAAAAGGUAAAUGUUUCUCAUUCUCGAAGAGAGAUCACUUUUUGAAGUUAUUAUUUUAUUCACUGAGUCUUCAACUUUUUUCAACUUCUUCAACUUCUCUCUCUCUCCCUUUACCAAAAUUUGGGUGACAUCUGCUCGCUCUGUGUGCAGUAGACAGAAGGACACAUCAGGGAUCAUAUUAAUAUUUAAUAUCUGAUUUGAGGUCAGUGCGGCUCUCUCUGUGGAUGAAAGUAGAGAGCGCUUCUGCUGUCAUACAUCUGUCAAAAGUCUGUGCUGUCAGGGUGGCUGUCAGUCUCCAGUAGAGAGCCAGGCAGAGUAUGCACUGCUGUGACCACCUGGACUCUAUCCCCAACCAUCAUCCAUCACCAGACAUAUUACACAAAAUAAAUACAAUUUAAUACA